rnacentral:rRNA from 1 species
UAAAGAAUUUCGGUAUGGGAUGGGGAUGCGUUCCAUUAGUUAGUUGGCGGGGUAACGGCCCACCAAGACAACGAUGGAUAGGGGUUCUGAGAGGAAGGUCCCCCACAUUGGAACUGAGACACGGUCCAAACUCCUACGGGAGGCAGCAGUGAGGAAUAUUGGUCAAUGGACGAGAGUCUGAACCAGCCAAGUAGCGUGAAGGAUGACUGCCCUAUGGGUUGUAAACUUCUUUUAUAUGGGAAUAAAACGUUCCACGUGUGGAAUUUUGUAUGUACCAUAUGAAUAAGGAUCGGCUAACUCCGUGCCAGCAGCCGCGGUAAUACGGAGGAUCCGAGCGUUAUCCGGAUUUAUUGGGUUUAAAGGGAGCGUAGGUGGAUUGUUAAGUCAGUUGUGAAAGUUUGCGGCUCAACCGUAAAAUUGCAGUUGAAACUGGCAGUCUUGAGUACAGUAGAGGUGGGCGGAAUUCGUGGUGUAGCGGUGAAAUGCUUAGAUAUCACGAAGAACUCCGAUUGCGAAGGCAGCUCACUGGACUGCAACUGACACUGAGGCUCGAAAGUGUGGGUAUCAAACAGGAUUAGAUACCCUGGUAGUCCACACAGUAAACGAUG